AGGUGCUCCUGUCCAAAAUGUUUGUUCUGAAAUAUCCUGGCUCCAGAAUGUGCACAGAAAUACCCUGAUGAUACAGUUCCCGUCUGAAAAGAAAUUCAGACAAUUGUAUGCCGACACACUUUCGAGUGAAUUGGUGGCCCUGAAAAGGGCCGUCGAACGGGACUUAACAUCGCCGGAUAGUGUUGCGAAUACGGAAGAAGUAGGCUACUUUCGCAUCCCACUAUCAUUGAAGUGAACCCCGUCCGCUAGGUAGUCAGCUGGGUACCUCGUCGACAUCGGAACCAGAUCCUGUCCCAAAGCUUUUUUCGAACCCCGGUUAACAGCAUUUCUCAAAGCAGCAUGGACCGGAAAGCCAGCAAACUCUCCACCACUUCAUUUGGCACUGUCGUCGGAACCGUGAACAUUCGGAAGAAAUGCUGCUCAAUCUGUGCAAGAUUACAGACACAGUAAUGAAAGACGAUUUUUUAAGCAAGUGUGCCAAACAAUCUCUAAUUACAAAAAAUUUCGGAUAGUUCUGCUCUUUGUACUUUGUGAUUUGAGAGCUAUACAUUAUUUUGUACUGUUGUGAAUGUUUUAUAUGUAAAAAAAAAAGUACAUAACCUAGUGCUAUUUGCAUACAGCGUUUUGAUUUGUUAUGUUAUGUCUCGCUAUGUUAGUGAGGGUUUUUAAAAUGAUUUUUGUGAUUUACAAUAAUUUUUCUAUUUAUAUUGUGUAUUUUUUAUUUGGUAAACAAACGUACUUAGUGCUAAUCGACAUUCAGUAUUUUAAUUUAUUACAACGUUACGUUCCGCCUUGUUUUGACAUUUGAAAAAUAUAUCAACUUUAAUUUAUCGCUUACUUCCGGUUAUAUGUAAGUACGUGCUUUCAGUUUUCGGGUUUUUUAAAACUUUUUUCUCAAUUAAUACAAUAAAAGUAUAAUAGAGAUGUACGUCA